rnacentral:rRNA from 1 species
GAUGAACGCUAGCUCCAGGCUUAACACAUGCAAGUCGAGGGGAAACGACAUCGAAAGCUUGCUUUUGAUGGGCGUCGACCGGCGCACGGGUGAGUAACGCGUAUCCAACCUGCCCAUCACUUGGGAAUAACCUUGCGAAAGUAAGACUAAUACCCAAUGACAUCCCACGAAGACAUCUGAAUGGGAUUAAAGAUUUAUCGGUGAUGGAUGGGGAUGCGUCUGAUUAGCUUGUUGGCGGGGUAACGGCCCACCAAGGCAACGAUCAGUAGGGGUUCUGAGAGGAAGGUCCCCCACAUUGGAACUGAGACACGGUCCAAACUCCUACGGGGGGCAGCAGUGAGGAAUAUUGGUCAAUGGGCGAGAGCCUGAACCAGCCAAGUAGCGUGCAGGAUGACGGCCCUAUGGGUUGUAAACUGCUUUUAUAAGGGAAUAAAGUGGGUCUCGUGAGACUUUUUGCAUGUACCUUAUGAAUAAGGACCGGCUAAUUCCGUG